rnacentral:misc_RNA from 1 species
AACGCACAUUGCGCCCGCUGGCAUUCUAGCGGGCAUGCCUGUCCGAGCGUCAUUUCGAACCCCCAAGCCCGGCUUGGUGUUGGGGCCCUACGGCCGCCGUAGGCCCCGAAAACGAGUGGCGGGCCCGCCGCGGUUCCGAGCGCAGUAGUAAUGUCUCGCUCUGGGGCGCGCGCGGGUGCCUGCCGUAGCAGAAAAGGCGCCGCGACGCGCUGAAGGUUGACCUCGGAUCAGGUAGGGAUACCCGCUGAACUUAA